ensembl:lncRNA
UGGGGUCCUGCCUUAUGGGGGGUCCUGUGUCACCUCAGCGGGGAGCAGGAGAUGGGCCCGGGGCUCGGGGCUGCCAUCUCCACCCUUAGUCUGGGGCUGAGCUGUUGUGGAGCAACUCAGGGACCACAUGUUUGUAAUUUGGGGACAAUUCUGCCUUCCUGUAAUUUUAUUGUAUUUAGUAAAUGCGGUUUAAUUUUCUUCCUGUAUAGACUUCUCAAAUAACUACAAAUCAAAAAAGAGCUUGCAGGCCCAUCAGGGCAACCCUGGCCUGCAAGGACCCAACACCAGGCCCGUGGCACACACUCAUGCCCGCUCUCACUCCCACACCCUGUCACACCUGCACUCACGCCACACACACAGUGGGCACACUCACACCCCAGUCACGCACAAACACAUCCACACACCUCCCUCUGCUGCUUCCUCCCGCAAGUCCCCGCACCCCCCUGCACCCCCAUAGAGUCCCCAUCAGGGCUGCUCCCCCUGCCCCCCCCCCCUUGUCAGUUCCCACUUCCGUUCCCAGCACUGGCAUUUGGCAUUUGCCGCAGGCUGAGGGCUGGUGCGACAGACGCCCUGCCAGCGCCAAAACACGGCUGUUCGGCGCACACAGGAGCCGCCUCUGGCCUGCCACUUCCUGCCCGGAGGACCACAGACCUGAGCCCGGCUAGGACGAGACGACCGCGGCUCACCUGCCAUCAACAGGCUCGCAGGGGCCCUCACUGCACCCAGGGGGCUGGGGCCGGGCCGACCACCGAGAGAACUCACCAUGCAUCCCCUGCUAGCCUCCCUGCUCAGGGGCAGCUGGGACGUGGGCAGCCGCCUCCCAGACUGUAGUCAGGGUCCCGGAUGUGGGGAAGGCCACCCAUCAGAGUCCUCGGGGCCACUCUGCCCUGCUCAGACCCAUCUGUCAUGAACCCUGGAGUGAGCGGUGCUGCUGGGGGCUGGUGCCCAGAGGUACGGGGUCCCUGGAGCUGGGAGGGUGGGCAGAGGAAGUGCCACAUGAGGAAGCUGCAGGGGUCUCCAUUCUGGCCACACAAAGUGCCCGAAGUGGAUAAUGCUUCCGGGGGAGUGGGGGUGACUGGAGGGUUGGAGGGAUAUCUGGGACGGCUCCCUGGGGGCAGUUCUCUUGUGAGCGUCUGUGUGUGUGAAAAUCCCUGUCAUGUCACCUUCCGGGAUGUGUGUGUGAAAAUCCCUGUCAUGUCACCUUCCGGGAUGUCCAUUCUACUUCAAUGCCAAGUGUAAGUACACAGUGCCUGACUCACACCCUCUGGGUGUCCGCUCCUGUGCUCAGAGCACCCUCCGCCAGGCACCCCCCAUCCACACCCAAAGGCAGGCCCAGGCACAUGGCUGGGGUGACAGAAUCUAAUUGGGGGCAAUCCCUGCAAGUCCAGGGUGGAGGGAGUGGGCAGGGCCGAGCGGCCGUGUGAACGAGCAGUGUCCUGCCUCCACGGGGAGCCCCGGUAGACGACCAACUGUGUGAGAUCAUCUACCUGUUCCUCCAGGUCACAACAAAUCCAUCCCUCCCCAGCCUGUUUCCAACUUGGUUGAAACACCCCUAAAUGCUCCGCAAAGUACCUGCGCAGCCCUGGGCUCUAAGAGGCUUGGCCAGGGGU